CACAUUGCCACAAUAGUGGGCUUUGUAGUUUACAUGACAGGGGCCAUCCUGUGUAAUCUUAGUUAUUCGUUAUCAUAGUUUUGUUUGUCAAACAUUUGGAUUUUCCUACUAAAUGUCAAUUUAAUAUAUCCUCUCAAUAUUGUUUGUUAUUUGUUAAUUUUCAAUACGUUUUGUGUUUCUAAUAAAACUGUAAAUAUUACAGAAUGGCUGAUGUUUUAGACUUGAACGCUGAAGAGUUUGUGGAAGAAGAUGAUGGUAAUAAAACAUGUGUUUACUAUUGUACGAUUCUUAGAUUUAUUGAACAUGAGUUGUUAAUUUGUUUCAACAAAUUGUGGGUUGUAAAAAUAUUUACGAGGAAAAAACCAACGGUAAAAUAGUGUAAUUUUAUUAUCUUAAACUAAAUAAAUUCUCAAAAUACCAUGGACCGAGAGGUUAAUGAAUAAGGAAGUAUUAAAUAAAAUAAAGAAAUAACAACAAAUAUGGAAAAGUAUUCAAUCAAGAAGAGACAAAAUAAUGGGACACAUAUUAAGGCAUGAAAGUUUAUUAAAGAAAAUAAUUGAAGGAGAUGUUGAAGGACACAUUGUAAGAGAAAGACACAGAGCAUAAUACAUGACACAGAUAAUGCAGUAAACGAAUAAGGAAUACUACAAAGACCUGAAAGAACUGUGCUACGAUAGAGAAACAUGGAGCAACAAACAAAUCUACGGAUUUAUAACAAAAAAAAUAAUAAAUUCUUGAUUUACCUUCCUACAUUUAAAAACAAUUCUAUUUAUUAUACAUGGAGUUAUAUUAUUAUAAAAACUAAUUAUAACAAAACUACCUGUAACAAUGUUUUGGUGUGAACUAUGAUAAGUGCUUGUGGUAAGGAAAAGGGUACAUAGGUACCUACCCUAGUGUUUAGAACAUGGUUUUAUUAAAAUAUUAACUGAUAAUAACCAGAGCUCCGUUGUUUAUGACUGCAUAUUUUUUCAUCAAAAUCACAAUUAUAUCUGAAUAUGAUAUAAACUUGAUUCAUGAUAUUUAGAUUUCAAAUAUGCAAACUUAUUUUUCAUAUAUUUGCAUAUUUGACAUUUUUGAGGACAUAAAUGUAUAAAUUGAAUUAUUUAUAGAUUUAGAAGCAUAUUUUAAAUAUAAUAUUAAACAUUUGUNAUAAGGAAUUUCGGUCAUAAACAUCUGAGUUUUAGUAAUAACCUUCUCUACCAACAUGAUAAUAAAAUCUAGAUUAUCCCAUUACUAUAAAUUAUUUUACCAUAAAAACAUUGUUCACAAUUAACAUAAUAUUUCAUUAUCAAAGUAUUAAUGUAGCUUAUAUUAUCAAUUUCAGAGGGAGUUUCUAAACUUAAAGAAAAAGCUAGAAGAAAAAAGGGACGUGGUUUUGAUGACAAAUCUAAAAGAAAUAUUAAAGAUGAACCCAUGGAAUAUGAAUCUGUUGAUCAAACUGAAGACGAUGGACCUGGCCCUCAAAGAUGUAAUAUUAUCAUUUAACACACUUUUAAUUAUUAUUAUUAUUAUUAUUGUUGUUUAUGUGUAUGUGUGUAUGUAUUAUAUUUUCCUCAUAGCUGUUGAAGGUUGGAUUUUGUUUAUAUCUUCUUUACACGAAGAAGCACAAGAAGAUGAUUUACAUGAUAAAUUUGCUGAAUUUGGAAAAAUUAAAAAUUUACAUUUAAACUUGGACCGUAGGACUGGAUUUUUAAAGGUAAAUUAUAAUACUUAACUUAAUUAUUUUAUAAUUCAUCAAUGUUUUAAUUUACUGUUUUUUUUUUAAGGGUUAUGCAUUAGUUGAAUAUGAAUCGUACAAGGAAGCUUCUAGAGCACGUGAAGGACUCAAUAAUUCAGACAUAUUGGGACAGCAAAUUAAUGUAGAUUGGUGCUUUGUUAAAGGACCAAAAAGGUAUUUAAAUUUAAGUAAAUCAUGGUUGCACACAAAUACAAGUACAGUUUAGAUGUUAAAUCCAAUAAAUUUACCAUGAAACAAAAUAAUAUGAGUAUACAUAAAUAGGUGUAGUGACUAUGGCAAUCGUUAACAACUAACUACAGUAAUAAUAUUUAAUAAAUAUUUUAUUAUUUUGUUCCAGAGUAAAAAAAUCAAGACGCCGAGUGACAAAUUAUUAAUCUGGUUGUAGAUUAAAAAACAUCUAUUAUUGUCAAAAAUACUAAUUUGAUGUGUUUUUAUAUUUUGUAUAUUUAGUUAGAUAUCAUGCCCACAAAGAUAAAAACGGAAAAAAUGUAAAAACAAAAUUUUAAAAUAAUAAAAAAUUAAGUAUAACAUUGUAACUGAAAAUUUGUUAUUUAUCAAUUAAUGGCAGUUUUAUAUAGUGUUAUAAAUACUUUUUCUGAGUAUCUAUAUUUAAAAUUUAAUAUAAGUUGUGUAUAUUUAAACCUUUUGUAUAUAAUUGUUUUUAUGCAAAUAUUAAAUAAUAAUAGAAAUUUUAAAAAGUUAAUAUUGCAAUAAUCAAAUAGUUUUUAUAAACUACACUCCCGUGAAACUUGAAGUCUACUCGUCCACAGAAAGGCAUAUUUUUAUAAAAUGGCUUUACCAAUUUUCAUUAAACAAAUUAAAAAUUACUGAAGACAUUUUUAAGAUAAUUGUGUCAUUGUAAAGUAAAAUCAUUAGGCUUUCAAAGAAAAAUUUUUUUAUGAUAAUUGGUAUAGCAAUUUUAAAAAAAUAUGCCUUUUUAUGAUUGUGUCAAUUUAGUUGCACGCUAAUGUAUAAAUUCAGUUAGAUACAUAUUUUCUGUUUUAUUUUUAUUAAAUAAACUUAAACUAAAAUUGAGUUUAGAAUAAAAGUACUGUAGAACCUCGGUUUUCUAGGGAAUUUUAGGAAGAGAUUACAUGGUUAAAUGAAAACAACAGUUAAUCAAGAUUUUUUUUUGUUUAACAAAUUACAGUUACAUCGUAUACACCUACAUGUGUAUGUGCAUGCAUGUGUAUAUUGUCAUGUUAUAAUGUCAUCAGUCUUUAAUUUUAUAUUGUUUGAAAUGAUUUUCCUUACUUCACAUAUAAUUUUUCUUAAAUUCUUGACACUAUGGAAGUUAAAAUUAUUACUAUUUAUUGUUCUUAACUUAGAUAUAAUAUACUGUACCUAUGCUUAUAAUUUUGGUACAUAGAAAUUUAUGGAAGAGUGUGCCCAGAUAAUCGAGGUGCUACUGUCGUAAAUGUGUGUAACUAUAAAUUGUAUAAUUAAAAAAAAAAAACAUUUAUUUCAAAUAUUAUUUAAAACAUAAACUAUUUAACAAUAAAAUAUAAAAAUAGUAUAAUAUAUAAACAAAAGUAAAAGUAUGAAGAAAAAACUUGAUGUGGAGUAAAUUCCAUCAAAAAGUUUAUGAAGGAUGUGUGUAUUACAUGAUGACUUAUUAAAUCAAAACUGUUUGUAAAUACACACAACCUAUAAACCUCCAUGC